UACGUAGGGUGCAAGCGUUGUCCGGAAUUAUUGGGCGUAAAGAGCUCGUAGGCGGUUUGUCGCGUCUGCUGUGAAAACUCGGGGCUUAACCCCGGGCCUGCAGUGGGUACGGGCAGACUAGAGUGCGGUAGGGGAGACUGGAACUCCUGGUGUAGCGGUGAAAUGCGCAGAUAUCAGGAGGAACACCGGUGGCGAAGGCGGGUCUCUGGGCCGAUACUGACGCUGAGGAGCGAAAGCGUGGGGAGCGAACAGG
rnacentral:rRNA from 1 species